rnacentral:ncRNA from 1 species
ACAAAAACUUAAUAUGUCGCUCAUAUAAUUCUUGGAAUAUGGCCGAGAAGUUUCUACCAAGUGACCGUAAAUCACUUGACUAUGAGUGGAAGUGUACCUAGG